rnacentral:rRNA from 1 species
GACGAACGCUGGCGGCGUGCUUAACACAUGCAAGUCGAACGGAAAGGCCCUGCUUUUGUGGGGUGCUCGAGUGGCGAACGGGUGAGUAACACGUGAGUAACCUGCCCUUGACUUUGGGAUAACUUCAGGAAACUGGGGCUAAUACCGGAUAGGAGCUCCUGCUGCAUGGUGGGGGUUGGAAAGUUUCGGCGGUUGGGGAUGGACUCGCGGCUUAUCAGCUUGUUGGUGGGGUAGUGGCUUACCAAGGCUUUGACGGGUAGCCGGCCUGAGAGGGUGACCGGCCACAUGGGGACUGAGAUACGGCCCAGACUCCUACGGGAGGCAGCAGUGGGGAAUAUUGCACAAUGGGCGGAAGCCUGAUGCAGCAACGCCGCGUGCGGGAUGACGGCCUUCGGGGUGUAAACCGCUGUCGCCUGUGACGAAGCGUGAGUGACGGUAAUGGGUAAAGAAGCACCGGCUAACUACGUG